UAUAUGCAUUGAUUCCCGAAUUUUCUCUCUCUUAUACUAAUUAUAUUUUAAAAUUUCUCUCUCUUAUAUUAUAUGCAUUGAUUCCCGUAUUUUCUCUCUUAUACUAAUUAUACUUAUUAAUAUUAAAUUUAUCACGUUCGCAGAUUUUAGUUGGGAUUUUAACGUUAUAUCUCUUACACUCUCUUUUCAGAUUUUUAAUGGGAUUGUGUUGUCACGUUAACCUAUAUCUUAACCCACUUUAAUAGAUAAGUCAACAACUUCCAAUGCAUUAUAUUCACUUUUAAUAAUAAAAUAUUUUCUCUCUCUAUAAAAACUCUUCUAAUUCUUAGAAAAAAAAUUUUAUUUGGAAUUGUUACAUUAUCUCUCUUACACUCUCUUUCUAGAUUUUUAAUUGUGUUGUCACGUCAUAUAUCUUAACCAUCUUUAAUAGAUAAUUCAACAACUUUCAAUGCAUUAUUUUCAAUUUUAUUAAUAAAAUAUUUUCUCUCUCUCUAAAAUCACUUUUCCAAAACUAAUUAUUCAGAAUAUCUUUUUUAAUUUUCAACUCUUAAUCUUCCAUGAUUUUUGUUUGAAUUGCAGGUCAUCUCUCUAACAUUCUUCAACGGACACAACAUCUUCAAAAUCAAUAUAUUCAUAUAUCAUCAAAUCCCCAGAUUCACGCUUUAAUUUCUUCAAACCCGAAUUUUCCUAUUUUACAUCAUUCUCAAGUAAUUCCGUUUGAACGUUUGAUUUGGAGAUUCACAUUGUGUUGGUUAUUAUGUUCUUCAUAUUACUUUUUGAUUACUUACUUAUUUAUUUUAUUUUUUAAUUUUGGAUAUUUUGUUGUUGUUCUUAAAUUAUUUUUUAGGGUUUCAUAAUACCAAAUUCACUCUUCAAUGGAUGCAUUCAAAAGAGUGACUAGAGGUUCAUCAUCUAAGUCUAAGGAGUGUGAAAAAAUGGCUGAAGAGGUGCAACAUUCAUCUAAGUCUAAGGAGUGUGGAAAAAUGGCUGAAGAGGUGCAACAUCCCACAGAAAUUCAUGAAGUUGAAGAAGAACAAUUUUUUGGAGAAGAGAUAAUUUUUUUUUUUUGCAUGUGUUGUGUAUUGCAUGUUUAGUUUAUUUUAUUUAGUAAUUUUUAAGAUUGAAAAAAAUACAUUUUACAAUGAAUUUGAAAGUGUAUUCGAAAUGUUUAGUCUGUUAUAGUCUCUGUGUAUUUUUGUAUUGGAAUUUUUUUUGACUAUUUAUGUAUUGUAUUUUGUAUUAUGUUCAUCUUUUUUGUAUUAGUUGUCAAUGUAAUAUCGUAUACAUUUGUAAGUGUGUUCUGAAUUUUCAUCUUGUUAUAGUUA